rnacentral:rRNA from 1 species
AACGAACGCUGGCGGCAUGCCUAACACAUGCAAGUCGAACGAGACCUUCGGGUCUAGUGGCGCACGGGUGCGUAACGCGUGGGAACCUGCCCUUAGGUUCGGAAUAACUCCCCGAAAGGGGUGCUAAUACCGGAUAAUGUCUUCGGACCAAAGAUUUAUCGCCUUUGGAUGGGCCCGCGUUGGAUUAGCUAGUUGGUAGGGUAAAAGCCUACCAAGGCGACGAUCCAUAGCUGGUCUGAGAGGAUGAUCAGCCACACUGGGACUGAGACACGGCCCAGACUCCGACGGGAGGCAGCAGUGGGGAAUAUUAGACAAUGGGCGAAAGCCUGAUCCAGCAAUGCCGCGUGAGUGAUGAAGGCCUUAGGGUUGUAAAGCUCUUUUACCCGGGAUGAUAAUGACAGUACCGGGUGAAUAAGCUCCGGCUAACUCCGUG